UCCUCUCUUAUGAUUGCGACGAGGGCGGCGC
rnacentral:sRNA from 1 species